rnacentral:tRNA from 1 species
GCGCUCGUAGUUCAACUGGAUAGAAUAUCAGAUUUCGGCUCUGAGGGUUGAGGGUUCGAAUCCUUCCGAGCGCAC